rnacentral:rRNA from 1 species
ACGCUCGACACCUACGGAGGCAGCAGUGGGGAAUAUUGCACAAUGGGGGAAACCCUGAUGCAGCGACGCCGCGUGAAGGAAGAAGUAUCUCGGUAUGUAAACUUCUAUCAGCAGGGAAGAAAAUGACGGUACCUGACUAAGAAGCCCCGGCUAACUACGUGACAGCAGCCGCGGUAAUCUGAGCGGGCUGGCAAGGC